AAUCAACAGAAAAAGGCCUUCGUCGCCCACCCCUGCUGAUGGAUGACCCUUCCAUCAGAAUCAGCAGUCUUCCUCAAAAAAAUGCUGCAGUCAUUGUCCAACCAUGGACCAAUGAAAACGACCUUCAUCGCUCCCCCACCAAUGGACGGGAAAUACCUUCACCGGCCCCGCCCACUGAAGGAUGACCUUGGUGACCCUACCACUGGGCUUAGCAUGUUUUCUUCCAGGUGAACAGGAAUCUUCCUGGAUCAUCUCGUUUUCUUCUGAUUUCGCCCUUCAUCGCCACCGCAGACACUGAUGCAACAGGCCUUCAUC